rnacentral:rRNA from 1 species
GAUGAACGCUGGCGGCGUGCCUAAUACAUGCCAGUCGAGCGAACAGACGAGGAGCUUGCUCCUCUGACGUUAGCGGCGGACGGGUGAGUAACACGUGGAUAACCUACCUAUAAGACUGGGAUAACUUCGGGAAACCGGAGCUAAUACCGGAUAAUAUAUUGAACCGCAUGGUUCAAUAGUGAAAGACGGUUUUGCUGUCACUUAUAGAUGGAUCCGCGCCGCAUUAGCUAGUUGGUAAGGUAACGGCUUACCAAGGCAACGAUGCGUAGCCGACCUGAGAGGGUGAUCGGCCACACUGGAACUGAGACACGGUCCAGACACCUACGGGAGGCAGCAGUAGGGAAUCUUCCGCAAUGGGCGAAAGCCUGACGGAGCAACGCCGCGUGAGUGAUGAAGGUCUUCGGAUCGUAAAACUCUGUUAUUAGGGAAGAACAAAUGUGUAAGUAACUAUGCACGUCUUGACGGUACCUAAUCAGAAAGCCACGGCUAACUACGUG